UGUAUUUAUGAUGAAUAAUAUCAGUUAUCCCUGUCAGACAUUUUUAUGUUGAUAACUUGUGGUAUAUCUGAAAAUAUU